AAGGAUCAUUAAUGAAUUCACUAUGGAGUUGUUGCUGGCCUCUAGGGGCAUGUGCACGCUUCACUAGUCUUUCAACCACCUGUGAACUUUUGAUAGAUCUGUGAAGUCGUCUCUCAAGUCGUCAGACUUGGUUGCUGGGAUUUAAACGUCUCGGUGUGACUACGCAGUCUAUUUACUUACACACCCCAAAUGUAUGUCUACGAAUGUCAUUUAAUGGGCCUUGUGCCUUUAAACCAUAAUACAACUUUCAACAACGGAUCUCUUGGCUCUCGCAUCGAUGAAGAACGCAGCGAAAUGCGAUAAGUAAUGUGAAUUGCAGAAUUCAGUGAAUCAUCGAAUCUUUGAACGCACCUUGCGCCCCUUGGUAUUCCGAGGGGCAUGCCUGUUUGAGUGUCAUUAAAUUCUCAAACUCACUUUGGUCUCUUUCCAAUUGUGAUGUUUGGAUUGUUGGGGGCUGCUGGCCUUGACAGGUCGGCUCCUCUUAAAUGCAUUAGCAGGACUUCUCAUUGCCUCUGCGCAUGAUGUGAUAAUUAUCACUCAUCAAUAGCACGCAUGAAUAGAGUCCAGCUCUCUAAUCGUCCGCAAGGACAAUUUGACAAUUUGACCUCAAAUCAGGUAGGACUACCCGCUGAACUUAA
rnacentral:rRNA from 1 species